rnacentral:misc_RNA from 1 species
AUGUGUUUCUGCAUCUGGAUCAAUACUCUUUGCAAAAACAUCAGAAGAUGGACUGUCUAAGGCAUUUCUUCCAGUUGAACCACCUUGAGGGCUUCUUGCCAAUUCAUNGGACUUCUUGCCGAUUCAUCUUCACUGUGGAAGCAUGCAGAUUCACCCUCAAGGGCAUGUUCACCAGUACUAAAAAAGUUCCCAGACUUGCCAUCACCAUUUGAUAAAGAAUCAGGGGUUAGACUACCAUCUUGUGACGCUUUUUCCUUUUGCAUGGCAGAAGCAUUUUUCACAUCAAUGGUGAGGUCAUUGGCAAAUCCUUCAUCUUCGAACUUAUCCCACUCUUCAUCCCACACAGCUGCUCCUUCUUGAAUUCCAGGUUGCCAGCCAAAGGGAAGCUCAACCAGUGAGACUGGCUUAGCACGCAAUCCAUAUUGUUUACAGCGUUCAUUCACACUUUUUAC